rnacentral:rRNA from 1 species
GAUGAACGCUGGCGGCGUGCUUAACACAUGCAAGUCGAGCGAGUGAGUUCUUCGGAACGAUCUAGCGGCGGACGGGUGAGUAACACGUGGGCAACCUGCCUCAUAGAGGGGAAUAGCCUUCCGAAAGGAAGAUUAAUACCGCAUAACAUCGUUGAAGGGCAUCCUUCGAUGAUCAAAGGAGCAAUCCGCUAUGAGAUGGGCCCGCGGCGCAUUAGCUAGUUGGUGAGGUAACGGCUCACCAAGGCGACGAUGCGUAGCCGACCUGAGAGGGUGAUCGGCCACAUUGGGACUGAGACACGGCCCAGACUCCUACGGGAGGCAGCAAUGGGGAAUAUUGCACAAUGGGGGAAACCCUGAUGCAGCAACGCCGCGUGAGUGAUGACGGCCUUCGGGUUGUAAAGCUCUGUCUUUGGGGACGAUAAUGACGGUACCCAAGGAGGAAGUCACGGCUAACUACGUGCCAGCCGCCGCAGUAAAAC